UGGUCAUAAACCUUGUGUCAAAAUUUCAUAGAUUUCUUUUGACUUAAACUAAAUUUAUAGUGCGAAAACCAAGAAAAUGCUUAUUUGGGCCCUUUUUGGUCCCUAAUUCCUAAAAUGUUGGGACCAAAACUCCCAAAAUCAAUCCCAACCUUCCUUUUGUGGUCAUAAACCUUGUGUUAAAAUUUCUAUUCACUUUUACUAAAG
rnacentral:lncRNA from 1 species